UUCUUGGAGUCCAGCGCCAGAGUGUGUGCGGCGGCCAACAUCUGUCUCUGGCACUCCUCCUUUAGUGUCGUCACCCAGUUCUGCUGGGCCAGUCUCAUCUUAUUGAUCAGCUCCUCUAAGUCCUUGUUCAGGAGCUUCUUUGUGCCCGCGAUCUGAGACAGAUGUGUGACGUGAUACCUCGCUGGCACAUGAGUUGUGCAGAACGGGCAGGACGUCAUCAACGCUUUGGAUCAGGCUCCGCAGAGUGGCGCCAAUCGCCUGGAUGGCGAGCAGGGGAGAGUCACGGUUGGUGGACGUCAAUGUGAGAAGACACAAAUCUUACUUUGACGGCGUUGGGAUACUCGGAGACUGGAAGCGUGUUGACCUCAUUCUUCAGCUGGACCACCUGUCUGACCGUCGCCAUGACACCAGAGUACACCUGAUCACCUGAUCGGUCCAGCUCAGCUGUGGGACGAGACUGGAACACAGCAUUUCUGUUCUAAUUGUCUGCAUGGUCAUUAAAAUAUAGGGGUUGUCUAAACAUCUUA